AUGCGGAGGAUGUGGCCCGCUUCCAAGUGCGUCUGCGCGCCGGCCACCCACGUCGGGUCCUUCAAGUGCCGCUUCCACCGCACCAACUCCCAGGGCCAGGGAAGCCGCCCUUCUUCGCCCCCUUCACCGGCCGCGGCCAACGCGGUGCCGCGGCACCCGGCCUCGCCGUUCUCGUCCUCCGGCACCGUCACGACCCAGUGA
rnacentral:rRNA from 1 species